CCCUUAGAUGUUCUGGGCCGCACGCGCGCUACACUGAUGCAUUCAACGAGCCUAGCCUUGACCGAGAGGUCCGGGUAAUCUUUGAAACUGCAUCGUGAUGGGGCUAGAUUAUUGCAAUUAUUAAUCUUCAACGAGGAAUGCCUAGUAAGCGUGAUUCAUCAAAUCGCGUUGAUUACGUCCCUGCCCUUUGUACACACCGCCCGUCGCUCCUACCGAUUGAGUGUGUUGGAGAGGAGUUUGGAUUGGCCUCGGAAGGUGGUUCGCCACCGUCCGUAGCUGAGAAGUUCUCCAAACCGCCCCACUUAGAGGAAGGAGAAGUCGUAACA
rnacentral:rRNA from 1 species